rnacentral:rRNA from 1 species
GACGAACGCUGGCGGCGUGCCUAACACAUGCAAGUCUUGGGAGAAAGAGGUAGCAAUAUCUUGAGUAAACCGGCGCAAGGGUGAGUAACACGUAGGCAACCUGCCCAAAAGACGGGAAUAACUUCGAGAAAUCGAGGCUAAUGCCCGAUGACAUUUCGAUACGACAUCGUAUUGAAAUCAAAUGCCGAAAGGUGCUUUUGGAUGGGCCUGCGUCCCAUUAGGUAGUUGGUGAGGUAAUGGCUCACCAAGCCGACGAUGGGUAGCUGGUCUGAGAGGACGAUCAGCCACACUGGAACUGAGACACGGUCCAGACUCCUACGGGAGGCAG